UACAGAGGGUGCGGGCGUUGUUCGGAAUUACUGGGCGUAAAGCGUGCGCAGGCGGUUCGUUAAGUCAGAUGUGAAAGCCCCGGGCUCAACCUGGGAACUGCAUUUGAAACUGGCGGGCUUGAGUGUGGCAGAGGGGGGUGGAAUUCCGCGUGUAGCAGUGAAAUGCGUAGAGAUGCGGAGGAACACCGAUGGCGAAGGCAGCCCCCUGGGCCAACACUGACGCUCAGGCACGAAAGCGUGGGGAGCAAACAGG
rnacentral:rRNA from 1 species